CCCUCGGCCCGACCAGAGCUUUACUGUAUUGUGUUGCCAUCGUACCGUUCCAGCGGUUUACCUUCGUCUGGACAGUAACAAGGAACAAUGUGAAUCCCUUCCAGCUUCCUGAUAAUACCAUUUCCUUGGAAGUGAUACGAAGGAAAUCUCCUGUUGAAUACCGCUGUGACACUUUUGAAAAGGGUGACGUGAUAAGCACAGUCAGGUUUAUUGUGGAUGCUACUGGUGAGGAGGAAGAUGCAGAGGCAGCAAUGCUGCUUAACAAGGGUGGAAGUGGCCUGCUUUUUGUGGCUCUGGGGCUGCUUCUCAUUCUUGCUUCUAUCUUUAUUAUUUCCACAUUGCUUUUCCUUUAUUUUAAGAGCUUCAAAGAAAUAUGGCAGAGGAUUAACAGUAGUUUAUUACAAAUAUUUAGGUUUACUGUGA